rnacentral:rRNA from 1 species
CUAGAUUCGCGGCCUAUCAGCUUGUUGGUGGGGUAGUGGCCUACCAAGGCGACGACGGGUAGCCGGCCUGAGAGGGCGACCGGCCACACUGGGACUGAGACACGGCCCAGACUCCUACGGGAGGCAGCAGUGGGGAAUAUUGCGCAAUGGGCGAAAGCCUGACGCAGCGACGCCGCGUGAGGGAUGACGGCCUUCGGGUUGUAAACCUCUUUCAGCUCCGACGAAGCCUUCGGGUGACGGUAGGGGCAGAAGAAGCACCGGCCAACUACGUGCCAGCAGCCGCGGUAAUACGUAGGGUGCAAGCGUUGUCCGGAAUUAUUGGGCGUAAAGAGCUCGUAGGCGGUUUGUCGCGUCGACUGUGAAAACUCAGGGGCUCAACUCCGAGCUUGCAGUUGAUACGGGCAGACUAGAGUUCGGCAGGGGAGACUGGAAUUCCUGGUGUAGCGGUGAAAUGCGCAGAUAUCAGGAGGAACACCGGUGGCGAAGGCGGGUCUCUGGGCCGAUACUGACGCUGAGGAGCGAAAGCGUGGGGAGCGAACAGGAUUAGAUACCCUGGUAGUCCACGCUGUAAACGUUGGGCGCUAGGUGUGGGGGCCAUUCCACGGUCUCUGUGCCGCAGCUAACGCAUUAAGCGCCCCGCCUGGGGAGUACGGAAUCG